GAUGAACGCUGGCGGCGUGCCUAAUACAUGCAAGUCGAGCGAACAGACGAGGAGCUUGCUCCUCUAACGUUAGCGGCGGACGGGUGAGUAACACGUGGAUAACCUACCUAUAAGACUGGGAUAACUUCGGGAAACCGGAGCUAAUACCGGAUAAUAUAUUGAACCGCAUGGUUCAAUAGUGAAAGACGGUUUUGCUGUCACUUAUAGAUGGAUCCGCGCCGCAUUAGCUAGUUGGUAAGGUAACGGCUUACCAAGGCAACGAUGCGUAGCCGACCUGAGAGGGUGAUCGGCCACACUGGAACUGAGACACGGUCCAGACUCCUACGGGAGGCAGCAGUAGGGAAUCUUCCGCAAUGGGCGAAAGCCUGACGGAGCAACGCCGCGUGAGUGAUGAAGGUCUUCGGAUCGUAAAACUCUGUUAUUAGGGAAGAACAAAUGUGAAAGUAACUGUGCACGUCUUGACGGUACCUAAUCAGAAAGCCACGGCUAACUACGUG
rnacentral:rRNA from 1 species